CUUGCUUUGCACUUACUCCAACAAUCCAUUGAGCAUCUGCUAUAGUUUGGAUGUUUGACAUCUCCGAACCUCAUGUUGAAAUCUGAUCCCCAGGGUGGCGAUGUUGGGAGGUGGGGCCUAGUGGGAGGUGUUUGGUUAAUGGGGGCGGAUCCCUCAUGAAUAACUUGGUGCCAUUCUCAUGGGAGUGAGUUCUCACCCUAUUAGCUCCCAUGACAGCUGUUUGUUAAAAAGAUCCUGGCACCUCCCCCACCCUCUUGCUUCUUCUUUCGCCAUGUGAUCUCUGCGGUCUCUGCACAUAAUGGUUCCCCUUCUCCUUCUGCUAUGAGUGGAAGCAGCCAGAAGCUUUCAUCAGAAGCAGACGCUGGUGCCAUACCUGCAGAACUGUCAGCCAAGCAUAAUGUAAAAUUACACUGCUCUACUGCCUUGAAGUUAGAAGAGCCUGUGUGACUUGCUUUGGUCACUAAAAUUCCACUGAUUGAAAUUGACAUAUGUCACUUUCAGAUGGAAGCUUACGUGGCCAGGUGAAAAUUAGUUUUUGCCCUCCUGCCAGGACAACCAGGGACAUUCUGGAUGGUGGAAGCUCUAUGUGCCUGGGUCUCUAGGGGAGGAGACUUGGGGCAAAGAAAACUCCCCGUCAUCCCUCACUGGACACUUUGCAUAAAUGAGAAAUAAACCUUUGCUUUUAAAAAGGACUGAAAUUUGAUUAUCGUUUUUGAUGGGGUUCCUCAAGAGCAUUAAGUCUAAAUGCCCCCAGACAUCCAUUGUAGAUACUGUCAUGUCUGAAUGGUAGUCCUGAGAUUGCGGCAGCCCUCACAUGAUGAGCCAGAGGAGGAAGCCUCAUGUGAAAGAAAGCAGGACCCACAGCCAUAGUUGCACAGAUCUAUUCAAGCCACGCUGAUCACUGCGCUAACCUCUGGAUUUGUUUGGUUACAGCAGUGAGUUUUCAGUUACUUGCAGCCUAACACAUAUGUUGCUUGAGGUUUAGCUUUUCUGGAUCGCCCUUUUUCUUAGCCCUCCACUCCCAGCCCAAGGUGGCAAUAGAGAAGGUCAGCCUACCUCCCAUCACUCCCUUGCCUUCCGCUCCUCACUCUGAGUGGGCUCUUUCCCUCACUCAAUUCUUUUUUGGCCUCCUAUCCUGGUGACCUGUAAUGAAGAGGAGUCCUCAUAAUUAAUCAUUUGGACCAACCAUGACUUUAGCUCUGAGGUUUGUGUAGAGCCCAGCCCUUCCAUGGGGAACCUAGUGUGGAUGCCCUAGCCUUUCCCAGAAAAUCACCCUUUGAGCACUUCUCAGUUUGCUUGACAAGUUCAAAGUCAUGAGCAUUUUUGAGGUAGAGUGGAGAGGACUCCACCAGACUAUUUCCCCCUAGGAUGCUGAGAGAGUGAGAAAGAGGGUUGGUGCAUACUCAACUGAAAGGAGAUGUAAAGGACAACCGUGUGCUCUUCCAGAUCCAUUGACCCAUGCUCUGCUCUUUUUCACCCUGGCCUGUGCCCUGUGAGACUGAGCUCUGCAGACUACACCACCCAAGCUCUCUUGCCUUCUGGCUUCUAGAUUGGUAGGGCCAAUAGGAGGCAGCAGCAGGAGAUUAGAAGGAGAGACUGUCAGGUAGGGAUAUUAUUCCCUCAACACUGGGAGGAUUGGCAUCCCUUUAGGACCACAGCUCCUGCCGAGUGCCCUUCAUCCACAGCUGUGUCUCUCCCCAGAAUCUGGGAUCUUUGUCUCUCUUUACUCCUUUAGGCUAGGGGUAGUAAUGGCUCCCUGGUAUUUCUAGUCCCAGGGUGUUUCAUCAGCUCUUAGGCAUUCCCCACUGACCUCUGUGUAUGCCUCUGUCAAUAGAACAAUUAAACUCCUUCACUUGAAACCUUUAAAUGUGCAUCUGCUUCCUGCCAGAACCCUGUAAUGAAUAACAGUUCUAUGAUUUUAUUCCUGUUUUACAGAUAAAAAAAUGGGGACUCAGGAGUCCAAAUGACCUGCCUUUAAAAAGUCACUGGUAGCAAAGGGUGAAGCUGCUUUGAGACCAUGUUUUCCUGAUCCAGGUUUUGUAAUUGAUCAACUCAAUCCCUUGAUGCCCACCAAUCCCUACUGGACAUCAAGAGUGAGAGUCACAAGCAGAUGUCUCUCAAAUGGGAACUGGCUGUCAC
rnacentral:lncRNA from 1 species